UCUGGUCCUUGUGUGCCAGCCGCCGCGGUCCUCCGGCGGCUGCGCGCGUUCUCCGGCUUUCUUGGGUUUCCCGGGCGCGCCGCCGGGUCGUUAAGUCAGCUGUGAAAGUUUGGGGCUCAACCUCAAAAUUGCAGUUGAUACUGGCGUCCUUGAGUGCGGUUGAGGUGUGCGGAAUUCGUGGUGUAGCGGUGAAAUGCUUAGAUAUCACGAAGAACUCCGAUUGCGAAGGCAGCACACUAAUCCGUAACUGACGUUCAUGCUCGAAAGUGUGGGUAUCAAACAGG
rnacentral:rRNA from 1 species